rnacentral:rRNA from 1 species
UACGGGGGGGGCAAGCGUUGUUCGGAAUUACUGGGCGUAAAGGGCUCGUAGGCGGCCAACUAAGUCAGACGUGAAAUCCCCAGGCUUAACCUGGGAACUGCGUCUGAUACUGGAUGGCUUGAAUUCGGGAGAGGGAUGCAGAAUUCCAGGUGUAGCGGUGAAAUGCGUAGAUAUUCGGAAGAACACCAGUGGCGAAGGCGGCUCACUGGCCCGGUACUGACGCUGAGGUGCGAAAGCGUGGGGAGCAAACAGG